rnacentral:tRNA from 1 species
ACCUGGGGGGCUCAGUCAGUUGGGCGUCCGACUUCCGCUCAGGUCACGAUCUCGCGGUCUGUGGGUUCGAGCCCCACCUCAGGCU